rnacentral:rRNA from 1 species
GAUGAACGCUGGCUACAGGCUUAACACAUGCAAGUCGAGGGGAAACGACGGGGAAGCUUGCUUCCCCGGGCGUCGACCGGCGCACGGGUGAGUAACGCGUAUCCAACCUGCCUCUGACUGAGGGAUAACCCGUCGAAAGUCGGCCUAAUACCUCAUGGCAUCGUCUGCGGGCAUCCAACGACGAUUAAAGAUUUCAUCGGUCAGGGAUGGGGAUGCGUCUGAUUAGCUAGUUGGCGGGGUAACGGCCCACCAAGGCGACGAUCAGUAGGGGUUCUGAGAGGAAGGUCCCCCACAUUGGAACUGAGACACGGUCCAAACUCCUACGGGAGGCAGCAGUGAGGAAUAUUGGUCAAUGGGCGAGAGCCUGAACCAGCCAAGUAGCGUGCAGGAUGACGGCCCUAUGGGUUGUAAACUGCUUUUAGGCGGGGAUAAAGUGAGGGACGUGUCCUUCAUUGCAGGUACCGCAUGAAUAAGGACCGGCUAAUUCCGUG